GAGUUUGAUUCUGGCUCAGGAUGAACGCUGGCGGCGUGCCUAACACAUGCAAGUCGAGCGCGGUUGUGCUUAGUAUUGAGUGUUUUAUUGAUAUAAAACAUUGAAUUCUAUGCACAACUGAGCGGCGGACGGGUGAGUAACGCGUGGGUAACCUGCCCUAUACACAUGGAUAACAUACUGAAAAGUUUACUAAUACAUGAUAAAAUAGUUUUUCGGCAUCGAAGAAUUAUCAAAGUGUUAGCGGUAUAGGAUGGACCCGCGUCUGAUUAGCUAGUUGGUGAGAUAACUGCCCACCAAGGCGACGAUCAGUAGCCGACCUGAGAGGGUGAUCGGCCACAUUGGAACUGAGACACGGUCCAAACUCCUACGGGAGGCAGCAGUGGGGAAUAUUGCACAAUGGGCGCAAGCCUGAUGCAGCAACGCCGCGUGAACGAUGAAGGUCUUCGGAAUCG
rnacentral:rRNA from 1 species